rnacentral:rRNA from 1 species
UACGUAGGUGGCAAGCGUUGUCCGGACUCACUGGGCGUAAAGCGCGCGCAGGCGGCGAUCUACGUCUGGGGUGAAAGCCCGGAGCUCAACUCCGGGACUGCCUUGGAUACGGGAUCGCUUGAGAAUUGGAGAGGCAAGGGGAAUUCCACGUGUAGCGGUGAAAUGCGUAGAUAUGUGGAGGAACACCUGUGGCGAAGGCGCCUUGCUGGCCAAUUUCUGACGCUGAGGCGCGAAAGCGUGGGGAGCAAACAGG